ACCUGGUGUUCUCUCUACAUAGAUGGUGGCCACAGUAGGCGGCUGAUGGAGGAGAUAUGAGACUAUGGCUGUUUCUCUUUAAGUCUUUGAAGACCAGUUGCUCUGUGGCUGGUUCAAUUCUCCUCAUCUUGUGUGAGAUAAAAGCAGCAGGAAGAAUACGGACCAUUGAAGAGAAGACUUCUUAGCGAUGAAGAGGCAGAUGCCCAGAGAGGGCAAGCAACUUACCUCAAGCCACACAGUGAGUUACAAGAUGGCGGAGCAUCCACAGCUAUUCUUCACACCACGAUAUCUGCAGCAUCUCCCAAAGCCCAGUCUUGCGACAUCUAGGUGCUUUUGAAGGCUCUUCUGGAGAAUGGAUACAAUGAAGGGAAAGGAUUCUGUAAUGGGAAGGAAGUGAAG